ACAGAUGAUACUACAAUUAGAGACUCAAAAUGUUAUAGAGAAAGAGAUUUUUUGACCAAAGUACAUGACUGUGUCGAAAAAGGUGGUAAAGUUUUCAUUCCGAUUUUUUCAUUGGGUCCAGGUCAAGAGAUGUGCAUUCUUCUUGAAACUUACUGGGAGAAGAUGAAUCUUAAAUUACCCAUCUAUUUUGCUGUUGGUGUAAUUGAAAAAACUACCACCUUUUAUAAGAUGCUCACAACUUGGACCAACCAAAAAAUCAAGAAAAUAUUUGUGCACCGUAAUAUGUUUGAUUUCAAACAUAUCAAG
rnacentral:lncRNA from 1 species